GAAGAGAAAGAAAGGGCAGCAUGUCCAGCACAUGGGUGUCUGUGUCAAGGGACAGAGAAGAGAGCUGAGAAGAGCUGGCAGAGCUGGCCAGUGGGGUGGAACUGUUGCUCCAGAAGGGCCUGAAGCCUCCUUAUCAGUUGCUUCUUGUGAAAUCAGGAGCAGAUGCCGACCCCAGGGGAAGGAAGCAUGGCUCCAUCACCACACAGAGAUCCAGACCAACAUGCCUCUCACUAGCAAGGCCAGGACACAGGCAGAGGACCCCUGGUAUGAAGACACCAGCACCUAGACCUGAGCUCUCUGCCUAGCUGAGGUGGGGUGCCAGGGUGAACCCCUGCCAUGGAUGGAGGGGCAGGACAUUGACUGGUCAAAUCACCCUUCGGUCUUCUCUUCUGCAGACUAAAUCAUUUGAGCUCUUUUAGCCUUUAUUCAUAAGCCUUUAUUCCUAUGGUCUGCUACGAUACCCAGCUCCCUUUCUGUAAUGCAUCAAAUACAACCUGGCAAAUUAUUGUAUUUGUGCAUGCAAGUUUUCCAGGACUUUGCACUUGAACCUAAUGAAUUUCAUUUGAUUCAUUUCAGACGACUUAUCCUGUUUAUCAAAGUCAUUCUAUAUAAUAAUCCUA